AAUAGAAAUUACAACCCGGGUGUACAUUGUCCAGGGUAAUCAUGGAACUUAGGCUGGAAAUCCAUGGUAUAACAUGGAAUUCCAUGGAAAUCCCUGGAAUUUGAAACAGUUUCCAGGGUUUUCCAGGGUUUUGUUCUAGAAAUGUCCAUGAAACGUGGACUUUUUUUCCAAGCAUUUUCCAGCCUUGGAUGGAAAAGCAUGGAAAAGGAAUGGAAAACGCUGGAUUUAGGCUGGAUAACCAUGGAAAAUAUUUCCAGAUAGCAUGGAAAGUGGAACAUAGAAUUUUUUAAGCAUGGAAAAGACUCUAACAUUUUCAGCUGACCCUGGAAAAAACUUAGACUUUAUAAGAGGAGAAAAUAACUUAUAAAAAUGCAACACAUUUUAUUCAAAGUAAAUCAGAGUUCAGCAAUUUACACAACAUAUGAAUAAAACAUAAAACAAUGUGCAUAGUUUGGGCAGAAAUAGUAGUAGUUAUAGUAGUAGUAGUAGUGGUAGAAGUAGUAAUGCUGAGGCUGGCAGUAGAAUAUGUUGUAGGAGUAGUAGUAAAAGUGGUUGUUGUAUAAGUUGUAUAAGCAGUUAAACUACUGAUAAUUAUACUAUUGGUGCAAAUUUAAGUGACAGUAGCAGUAGUAGCAGUUAUGAUUGUGUUGUUGUUUUAGCAUUUACAGGAAUAGUAGCAGUAACGGUAGCAAUAGUAGUAUAAAUAAUAAUAACAAUACUAGUAGCAGCAGUAGUAGUAGUAGUUAAGGAAGUAGCAUUAGCAGCAGCAGCAGUAGUAGUAGUAGAAGUAGUAGUAGUAGAAGUAGUAGUAGUAGAAGUAGCAGCAGCAGCAGUAGUAGCAGCAGCAGCAUCAGCAGCAUCAGUAGCAGUAGUAGUAGCAGUAGUAGUAGCAAUAGUAGUUGAAGUACUAGUAGUAGUAGUAGUAGUAGUAGUAGUAGUAGUAGUGGUAGUAGUAGUAGUAGUAACAGCAGCAGCAGCAGCAGUAGUCGCUGCAGCAGGUGUUGUAGUAGUAGUAGCAGCAGCAGCAGCAGCAGUAGCAGUAGUAGUAGUAGCAGCAGCAGCAGGAGUAGUAGCAGCAGCAGCAGUAGCAGCAGCAGUAGCAGUAGUAGUAGUAGUAGUUGAAGCAGUAGUAGUAGUUGAUGCAGUAGUAGUAGUAGUAGCAGUAGUAGCAGCAGUAGUAGUAGUAGUAAUAGUAGUAGUAGUAGAAGUAGUAGUAGUAGUAGUAGUAGUAGUAGUAUAAGUAGAAGUAGCAGUAGUAGUAGUAGUAGUAGUAUUAGAAGUAGUAGUAGUAGUAGUAGUAGUAGUAGUAGUAGUAGUAGUAGUAGUAGUAGUUGUUGUUGUUGUUGUUGUUGUGGCUGUUGUAAUAGUAGUAGUAGUUUUGCAGAAGUAGUAGUAGUAGUAGUAGUACUAGUAGUAGAAGUAAUAGUAGUAACUUUCAAAGCAAUGUCUACAAGUUUAAAUUCUUUAACCCUGUUCAAGGUGUAUACACACUCAAUAUUUAACUACAGUCCAGGUUUGCAAUUAACAAACUAUCUGAUAAACCUGUGUGUGAGUCAGAUAUGUCUGCUGCUAAUCUAUUGGUUAUAAAAUAUCACAGCCUUUUCUGAUUGGCUGAGUUCAAAUACAGAAAGUUUACCUGUUAGAUUGAAAUUCUGGCGUAUUGUAGAAAAUAUGCAGGUUAAACUUGUUGUUAAAAUGAAGUUAAUGUAAUGUUCACAAACAGUAGAGUUAAUGAGUUUUUCCAUUAACAAGAAUUUCUUAAAAUAAUAAUGUAUGGAUAUCAUUUGGAAAGUGACAUGAAAUAUUGUUAAAAAGUGAUGCAUACAAGUGUUUCAGAAGUCUGUCUAGGAAUAGAACAACAACUGAAGCUGACCAGUUGAUGGAAGAUACUGCAGAGUUUGGCAGGGAAAUAACCCAAGACAGCAAAGCGGCUCUUUUGGCGCAUUUACCAAGAGGACUAACAUGGCCAAAAUUCAUGAGAUCAUGCAGGAGCCGUACAGUAUAACAGCAGUACAAGUUCUAUAAAAAAAUCCACGACCUACUGAAGCCCAGCUAAUUAACAAAAAAGUUUUUAAAAACUGUAAUUUUAUCCCACCUGGGUACUUAUUAUUUACUAAGCUGCCUUCACAAGUUUUAGACUUGCAAUUAUAUUUUAAACUGUCACUUGGAAAGUAAUACAUGUACAUGCAUUAUGUUCUGAAUUUCUUUGAACAAUAAAAUUAUAUAAAAGUAUUUUAAUGAAAUUGAGCACCUAAAUUGCAUUAAAGUGAAAGUAGCUGAGAAAAAUAGUAUCCUUGUGCUCAUGGGCAGCUACAUAUAUUGUGACAAACAUGAAGUAGCUAAAAUAACUUAAAUUUUUUAUUUUGUUUCUUGUAUAUCGUUUGUACAGGGUUCGUGAAUUGUUACUGUAUAUUACUUGACUUGCUUGUAUUUUGUUACUUUGAAUACAUGUUGUUAAGGUUGCAUUAUACUUUUUAACUUUUAAAGUAGCGCCUGUUCUGUUAUGUAAGGGCCUGAUUUAUGAUAAUGGACCUAGAGGCUUUGUAAGCAUGUAUUAAACAACACUUGUUUGAUCUGAAUAAUUUGUUAAAUAAAUGUAACACAAUUUGUAAUCUGAUGUUAUAUUUUGAUGAAUUGUGAACAAAAUAAUACAUCGAAGAAACUAA